rnacentral:rRNA from 1 species
GUGAGGAAUAUUGGUCAAUGGACGGAAGUCUGAACCAGCCAUGCCGCGUGAAGGAUGAAGGCGUUCUGCGUUGUAAACUUCUUUUAUUUAGGAAGAAACCACCGAUUUCUAUUGGUGUUGACGGUAUUAAAUGAAUAAGCACCGGCUAACUCCGUGCCAGCAGCCGCGGUAAUACGGAGGGUGCGAGCGUUAUCCGGCUUUACUGGGUUUAAAGGGUGCGCAGGCGGUCUUAUAAGUCCGGGGUGAAAUACUACAGCUCAACUGUAGAACUGCCUUGGAUACUAUAGGACUUGAAUCGAGUAUAGGUCAGCGGAAUACAACAUGUAGCGGUGAAAUGCAUAGAUAUGUUGUGGAACACCGAUUGCGAAGGCAGCUGACUGGGCUUGAAUUGACGCUCAGGCACGAAAGCGUGGGUAGCGAACAGGAUUAGAUACCCCGGUAGUCC